rnacentral:tRNA from 1 species
GCAGGUGUGCUGGAAUCGGCAGACAGGCACGUUUGAGGGGCGUGUGUACUAGUUACGUACGGGUUCAAGUCCCGUCACCUGCACCA